GGAAUCCAAAGAUCUUACCCAGGCCUCCUGUGUUCUUACACUGACUGUACAGAAAUAGGAGGCAGAGUAAACUUACCCCAUAUACACCUCAGCUCAGGCUCUUUGCCUGGUCUGUAUUGUGAAUGGGGAGACAUUG
ensembl:snoRNA small nucleolar RNA SNORA51